ensembl:lncRNA
AUGACCAACAGCAACAAACGGAUCUCCUCAAGGUAAGUCUGUUGGCUGUGUUUUAAUAAAGACCAUCGCUGGACUUCAGGAUCUUCCUCCGUUCAGCUCAAGGUGAGGCGCUGGUUCUGUUUUUUCUUUGGUUGGUUCCGGCCGGAAUGUUCGGAUUCCAGUCGGACGGUUUGUGCUUCCCGCCGUGGAAGGUUCUGAGUGCGUUCACUUGAUUUAGUCUCAAUGGUUAGCAUAGAACGUUGUAGUCUUGACAACCAUAAGAACCCACGUGGCUGUUAGUUGGACGUGAAUCCCCUGAAGGUAUCUGGCGGAACGUUCUGGAUUGUAUUUGCGUAUCUUCGAGCCGUUGCCAACAAACUAUUUUUCAGUCGGUUUCCAUCAGGAAUUGUUGCCCUUAUCUUAAACUACUUAAGUUUGAUAUUAAAUACUCACUGACGCGUGCAUCGUACAAUAUGUUGAUAAUUUCCGACUGUUGCGCCGACUUUAACCACGUUCACGGGACUCUCGCUGCGUUCGAAACAGCGUUCUACUUGCGGGCCCAUUUCUGAUCAUCAGUGAAGGCUGAAGAUCAUUUCAAGGUGGAAGACAAUUUGGCAUUUCUUCGACGGAACCCUGCACCUGAAUAUGGCUGAGUAUAUUUGAUUUAAUAUCGAUACUGCUUAGUGUUCUUUGUUACUUCAGCUUUCAUACGUUCUAAAUAUCUGGUGUCAAUAAUUGAAGUAAAACCCUACCCAAUGGAAUGACGUUAAACAACGACUUUGGUGCUUAGUUACCAACUGGAUAAUAACAAAGCUAAAAUAAUGGCCGUCUUUCCCACAUGUUACAGUAGAAGAAACUCUAGAACUGUACAAGGUUAAAAAGGUAACAUGUAGUUUGUCCCAAGGUGUCUGCCUCCUCACCCAGAGCCAGACCUCCACCUCCUCACCCAGAGCCAGACCUCCACUCACCCAGAGCCAGACCUCCACCACCUCCUCACCCAGAGCCAGACCUCCACCUCCUCACCCAGAGCCAGACCUCCACCUCCUCACCCAGAGCCAGACCUCCACCUCCUCACCCAGAGCCAGACCUCACCCAGAGCCAGACCUCCACCUCCUCACCCAGAGCCAGACCUCCACCUCCUGUCAGAAGUCCUCCAGAACAGCUGAAAGGCGAGGCUGAGAGGCUGGGGACCGGCUUGUGGUGCCAGGAUGGACCGGAGACUGAGGCUGGAGACCAGGGGCCUGCAGCACCGGACCAGAGGACCAGGAAUCCAUGGCUGAAGGGGCUGGUGGAGGAGCC